rnacentral:rRNA from 1 species
GACGUAGGUGGCGAACGUUAUCCGGAAUUAUUGGGCGUAAAGGGUGCGUAGGUGGCCUGGCAAGUUAUCAGUGGUAAAUCGAGGCCCAACCUUGUGGAAACUGGCAAUACUGCUUGGCUUGAGUGCAGGAGAGGUUAACGGAACUCUAUGUGGAGCGGUAAAAUGCACAGAUAUAUAGAAGAACAUCAAUAACGGCGAAGGCAGUUAACUAUUCUGUUACUGACGCUGAGGCACGAAAGCGUGGGGAGCAAAACGG